rnacentral:rRNA from 1 species
GAUGAACGCUGGCGGCGUGCCUAACACAUGCAAGUCGAGCGAACAGACGCGGAGCUUGCUUCUCUGACGUUAGCGGCGGACGGGUGAGUAACACGUGGAUAACCUACCUAUCAGACUGGGAUCACUUCGGGAAACCGGCGCUAAUACCGGAUGAUCUCUUGAACCGCGUGGUUCAAUAGUAAAAGACGGCCUUGCUGUAACUUAUCGAUGGUUCCGCGCUGCAUUAGCUAGUUGGUAAGGUAACGGCUUACCAAGGCAACGAUGCCUGUCCGAGCUGAGAGAGGGAUCGGCCACACUGGAACGGAGACACGGUCCAGACUCCUACGGGAGGCAGCAGUAGGGAAUCUUCCGCAAUGGGCGAAAGCCUGACGGAGCAACGCCGCGUGAGUUAUGAAGGUCUUCGGAUCGUAAAACUCUGUUAUUAGGGAAGAACAGAUGUGUAAGUAACUGUGCACAGCUUGACGGUACCUAAUCAGAAAGCCACGGCUAACUACGUG